rnacentral:rRNA from 1 species
GAUGAACGCUGGCGGCGUGCCUAAUACAUGCAAGUCGAGCGAACAGACGAGGAGCUUACUCCUCUGACGUUAGCGGCGGACGGGUGAGUAACACGUGGAUAACCUACCUAUAAGACUGGGAUAACUUCGGGAAACCGGAGCUAAUACCGGAUAACAUGUUGAACCGCAUGGUUCAACAGUGAAAGACGGUCUUGCUGUCACUUAUAGAUGGAUCCGCGUCGCAUUAGCUAGUUGGUAAGGUAACGGCUUACCAAGGCAACGAUGCGUAGCCGACCGGAGAGGGUGAUCGGCCACACUGGAACGGAGACACGGUCCAGACUCCUACGGGAGGCAGCAGUAGGGAAUCUUCCGCAAUGGGCGAAGCCUGACGGAGCAACGCCGCGUGAGUGAAGAAGGUCUUCGGAUCGUAAAACUCUGUUAUUAGGGAAGAACAAAUGUGUAAGUAACUAUGCACGUCUUGACGGUACCUAAUCAGAAAGCCACGGCUAACUACGUG